rnacentral:rRNA from 1 species
CCUACGGGAGGCAGCAGUGAGGAAUAUUGGUCAAUGGGCUUACGCCUGAACCAGCCAAGUCGCGUGAGGGAAGACUGCCCUAUGGGUUGUAAACUUCUUUUAUAAAGGAAUAAAACGAGGCACGUGUGCCUUUUUGCAUGUACUUUAUGAAUAAGGAUCGGCUAACUCCGUGCCAGCAGCCGCGGUAAUACGGAGGAUCCGAGCGUUAUCCGGAUUUAUUGGGUUUAAAGGGAGCGUAGAUGGGUUGUUAAGUCAGUUGUGAAAGUUUGCGGCUCAACCGUAAAAUUGCAAUUGAUACUGGCAGUCUUGAGUACAGUUGAGGUAGGCGGAAUUCGUGGUGUAGCGGUGAAAUGCUUAGAUAUCACGAAGAACCCCGAUUGCGAAGGCAGCUUACUAAACUGUGACUGACAUUGAUGCUCGAAAGUGUGGGUAUCAAACAGGAUUAGAUACCCUUGUAGUC